AAGGACCUUGGCCUACUCCUGAAAAAUGAAACAAAAUGAUAUGAGCGGAGAGGAAAGGAGACGUAAGGGCCAGAAAGAGGAGCAGCCACGAAGAGAGACAAAGCGAGAAGUAGAGAGAGAAAGUUAGAAGUAGAGAGCGAGAGAGAGCGGCGACGGAAGAAACUCAAGGUGUUGGCUUUCCAUUGAUGCGAAAACUGGCGGAGUUCAAGGUAAAGUAAUGGCGGAUCCGCCUGGUUUCCGCCUAUGUUUUACUAGUUAUUCCUGUGAUAGUGGUGGUGGUUUUUUUUUCUCUGGUAUUUUGUCGGGGUCGAGAAGAGGAAUAGGGAGGGAAGAAAGAGGAGGAGGAUUGUUAUUUGUAUUGUUUGGAUCAGAAGCAUGCUGAGUGUUCUUCGCGUUCAUCUCCCGUCUGAUAUACCUAUCGUGGGGUGUGAGCUCACACCUUAUGUGCUUUUGAGACGCGCUGAUAACUCCAUCACCACUGAUGAUGCCCUUGAACCAGAGCCGGUAGAUGGGUUCUACCUGAGGUACAAAUGGUACCGUAUGCAGAGUGACAAAAAAGUUGCAGUGUGCAGUGUACACCCAUCCGAGCAGGCAACUUUGCAGUGUCUAGGCUGUGUGAAAGCAAAAAUUCCAAUUACCAAGAGUUACCACUGUUCGUCAAAAUGCUUUUCAGAUGCAUGGCAACAUCAUCGUGCUUUGCAUGAACGUGCAGCAAAUGCUCUAAAUGAAAAUGGGACUGAAGAGGAGGAGCUGUAUCGGUUUAAUAGUAGUGGUGCUGUUGUGACCAAUCCAUCACUCUCUAGUUCAACAUCAGCCACAAAUCCAAGCCCUAUCAUGAACAAUGGUUCCACUCCUAUUUAUUCUUCGGCCACUUCUGAUAGAACUAGUGGUGAGGCUUGGGUUGAGGUGGGGCGCUCGAAGACUUAUACACCAAGUGCUGAUGAUAUAGGGCACGUUCUCAAGUUAGAAUGUGUAGCAAUAGAUGCUGAUACUAGAAUAUCAGUGGGACCUGUGAGUACCCUUUUGACUUCAAGGGUUAUCCCUGCACCUUCACCUACUCCAAGGCGCUUGAUUCCAGUUAGCGGGGUUGACCUAGUUGGGCAUUUGGAUUCAGAUGGUCGGGGUACUUCAGGAUCCUUUACAGUGCUCUCUUAUAAUAUUCUUGCAGAUGUUUAUGCUGCAAAUGAUGUAUACAGCUAUUGCCCAUCAUGGGCCCUGUCAUGGACUUAUCGAAGGCAAAACCUUUUAAGGGAGAUAGUGGGUUAUCAUGCGGACAUUCUGUGUCUUCAAGAGGUUCAAAGUGACCAUUUUGAAGAGUAUUUUGCACCAGAACUUGAGAAACAUGGCUAUACGGCUGUGUACAAAAGAAAGACAGCUGAGGUUUACACUGGCACUGUUUAUGCAAUUGAUGGUUGUGCAACUUUUUUCCGCCGAGACCGGUUUUCCUUAGUUAAAAAAUACGAGGUUGAGUUCAAUAAGGCGGCUCAAUCUUUAACUGAGGCUGUGGUUCCUGUCGCUCAGAGGAAAAAUGCUCUCAACCGGCUGCUUAAGGACAAUGUUGCUUUGAUUGUGGUGUUGGAAGCGAAAUUUGGUAAUCAUGGUCCUGAGGCCCCUGGAAAAAGGCAGCUUCUUUGUGUGGCAAAUACUCAUGUAAAUGUCCAUCAAGAUCUUAAGGAUGUCAAGCUGUGGCAGGUUCAUACUCUGCUUAAAGGGCUGGAGAAAAUUGCUGUCAGUGCAGACAUUCCGAUGUUGGUCUGUGGUGAUUUCAAUUCAAUGCCUGGGAGUGCUCCUCAUGCCCUCUUGGCGACUGGGAAGGUGGAGUCAACACAUCCGGACUUAACAAUAGACCCUCUAGGAAUUCUGCGGCCCCCUUCAAAGCUAAAUCAUCGCCUUCCUUUGGUCAGUGCUUACUCUUCCUUUGCUAGAAUGGUGGGUGUUGGUAUGGGCUUAGAGCAACAACGCAGGCGAAUUGACCCUAUGACAAAUGAGCCCUUGUUCACAAACUGCACCCGAGAUUUCCUGGGCACCCUUGAUUACAUAUUCUACACUGCGGAUUCACUGACCGUGGAAUCGUUGCUUGAGCUCUUGGAUGAGGAUAGUUUACGCAAAGACACGGCGCUUCCUUCUCCUGAAUGGUCUUCUGAUCAUAUCGCACUUUUAGCAGAGUUUCGCUGCAACCCACGGUCACGUCGUUAGCUUUUAGCAAUGAUUGGAGAUUUACGAUGGGAAAGGAAGAGAUUGGCUUUUGAUGUAGCGGAAGGUAGUGGCCAUGAGCUCUGAUUUUUCUCUCCUCCAGUGUUAGCUAUCCUCACAGAUUUGAAUCUACUCUCGCAAGGGGCAUGAGAAAGAAGGAUUCUUAGUUUUUUAUCGGAGUGUGCAGGAUCACCGGGGACUUGAAAGCAGUAGAAUCUCAUCCAAAGUCUAUAGUUCAUUCAACAGAGCCAAGUUCUGGCAGUAAACUCUUGAUGAGGUAGGUAGUUUGGAGAUUUUAGAAGGGGUUCAAUGUUCAGGGCCCUUCCUCACUCCAUUAAUUAGUUUCAGGUAAUUAUUCAAUGUUUUUAUUGACACACUGUUGGAAUAUGGACAUUUUUAAGGGCGUCAUGCCGGGUUUCAAGCUA